rnacentral:rRNA from 1 species
GUUCUGACGCUUUCACGGCCGAAGCAAAAGUGAUAAGUAGGCCGCCUGGGGAGUACGGUCGCAAGGCUAAAACUCAAAGGAAUUGACGGGGGCUCACACAAGCGGUGGAGCAUGUGGAUUAAUUCGAAGCAACGCGCAGAACCUUACCUGGGUUUGACAUGCUUGGAUGCAGCUCUGGAAACAGGGUUUGCUGCCCUUCGGGGUGAAACUUGCACAGGUGCUGCAUGGCUGUCGUCAGCUCGUGUCGUGAGAUGUCGGGUUAAGUCCCUUAACGAGCGAAACCCUUGCCGUUAGUUGCCAGCGGGUUAAGCCGGGGACUCUAACGGGACUGCCGGUG